AAUCAUUCACUUACCUACUCUUCUGAAACAGCAAACAGUCGAUGAAAGAAGAACACCGAAGACAUCAUCAUUUACUCUUUUCAUUUUCGAUGGAGAUUUUCUCGAUUAUCUUCCUCAUCUCCAUCACUCAAAUCGGAAGCUGUCGAAAAGUAAGAGAUUCUAGCGGUGACGAAACCAGAUGGAAUUUCAGGAAACUAUAUAGAAACAAUCAAGGUUAACACGCACCAUAUACGAUGGAUCUGACAAGGUCAUAAGCAGACCUUGCGAGGAAGAUCAGGCGAUGAUGUUUCAUUUUUUUUAUUAAGUCGUCGUUUGCUUUCAUACUAGUUUGGUUGAUAUUUCUAUUUUGAUUUCUUGCAAACAAAUCUUUUAAAAAAAAUACUUUUCCAAAGACCAAAUCUAUGUUGUUUUUCGUUUUCAUCUUCCAAGGUUCUUUGUUUCUGUUGAUUGGAGUUACUAGUGAUUACUUGACCGAUUUUAGUUCUAAAUACUUAAUUUCAUUUUUUUGUUUUUUGGUGUCCUCGUCCAGAUGAUAAACAAAGGAUGCAAUUAAGUAGAGAUUUAGGUCUCGAACCCCGUCAGAUUAAUUCUGGUUUCAGAACAGAAGGACCCAGAUGAAGGGGAAGGAAGAGCACUUGUUAGUUUCCCUCUUGCUGCAAGAAGAAUGAAUACACUAAACGACUUGCUUGUAGGAAAUGUUAUCUCCCUACAUUUGCGUUGAAUAAUGAAACUGUUAGAUUAUAAGUGUUGAACGCCUGCAUCAAGUAAAACAUGGGAAGACAAGUCACAGAUGCAAAGGGUAGAAGCUUCCUUGAUUCAUGGAGGAUCAAUGAGACUUCAUGGGCGGAGUUAGCUACAAGCGAUAUUAUAUGGCGUCAUCACUUGAAUAAACCUGUCUUGACUCGACCACGAAAAGCCAUGUAUUCACCAUCAAAGUAUUGCUGGGGUCAUGACAAUAAGAUGCUUCAGAAAACAAGAAGAGUUUUGUAAUGAGAAUUUCAACAGGGUGAAUACAAACUUAAGAAUGGAUUUCCAUAAUAAUGGUUCUAACGAAUGGCUGGGGUUUCGCUUGGAAUUAGUUGGGACCAUGGUCCUUUGCCUAUCUGCAUUCUUCAUGGUCUUGAUGCCUACUAAUUUCAUAAAACCAGAUAUAAGAAGAUGUCGGACUGUUCGGGGAAGUUUUGAAAUUCUAGUAUGGUGCUUUUGCAGAAUAAACGAGAAUCAUUGUGGAGAACAGUCUUGAAUCAUGUAUUGAUAGUUGAGGCCACUAAGAGUAUUAUCUACGAGUCUAUGACAGUACUUUUGGAGAGAGCUUAAGAAAGUGGAGAAGAACAUAGGACGGGUUUCGUAGAUGGACGAAUUUCUGGAUUUUCAGAUUUUAAUGGCAUGCUUGCUGUUUGUUUAGGUAUCUGCUAUGUGUUAGAUUGUAAUGGCAUUCUUGUUAGUGGUGCUUAGGUGAACGAUUCAAGUUGUACGUGAUGUACAAAGUGGUGUACCUUGUUUUGUUUUUGGAUUUUCUGGAUUUUGGUACUGUGUAAACUAAAAUGUUUGAAAAAUGAAAAUUAUAUAGUCAUAUGGGUAAUCUUUUUGUA